rnacentral:lncRNA from 1 species
AUUCUUUUCUGGUGUCGGGGAGCUGAAUAUUAAAAGGGUGAUUGUGGAGUUACCGGUUAUCUGCAUUUUUUUUUCUUUUCUUAUUUUGACUCUUUUUAAAAAAUGCAGGUAAAGUGACAGCGGUUCAGGAGCUUAAAGACAUCAGUGGUGGAGGGGUGAGUCAGCGGGUGCAAAAGGACAAGGAUUUGGUGCCUCGGAGACACGGUCCCCUCUCCGCCUCCAGAGAAGAGCAGGCAGGCAGCUCCCGGGACCGAAGCCGGGUCCACAUCCCCCGCGCGCGAGCUGGUGGCUCAGCAGCGGCGCUUCAGGUGGACGCGGUCAAACGAUGCCCCGCAGCCUCCUGGGUCUCAGCACAUAUUCCACACCUACGUCCCCUGACCUGUGCUCCUAGAAGCUGGAGAGAGCAGGAGCCUUCGGUGGGGCAGCUCAAAAUGUAGGUAACUGCGGGCCAGGAGCAGCGCCCA